rnacentral:rRNA from 1 species
CAGCAGCCGCGGGAAUACGAGGGGAGCUAGCGUUGUUCGGAAUUACUGGGCGUAAAGCGCGCGUAGGCGGCUUUUUAAGUCAGAGGUGAAAGCCCGGGGCUCAACCCCGGAAUUGCCUUUGAAACUGGAAAGCUAGAAUCUUGGAGAGGUCAGUGGAAUUCCGAGUGUAGAGGUGAAAUUCGUAGAUAUUCGGAAGAACACCAGUGGCGAAGGCGACUGACUGGACAAGUAUUGACGCUGAGGUGCGAAAGCGUGGGGAGCAAACAGGAUUAGAUACCCGAGUAGUCCCUGUCUCUUAUAU